GGGUUGUGAGGUUAAGCGACUAAGCGUACACGGUGGAUGCCCUGGCAGUCAGAGGCGAUGAAGGACGUGCUAAUCUGCGAAAAGCGUCGGUAAGGUGAUAUGAACCGUUACAGCCGGCGAUGUCCGAAUGGGGAAACCCAGUGUGAUUCGUCACACUAUCGUUAACUGAAUACAUAGGUUAACGAGGCGAACCGGGGGAACUGAAACAUCUAAGUACCCCGAGGAAAAGAAAUCAACCGAGAUUCCCCCAGUAGCGGCGAGCGAACGGGGAGCAGCCCAGAGUCUGAAUCAGCUUGUGUGUUAGUGGAACGGUCUGGAAAGUCCGACGGUACAGGGUGAUAGUCCCGUACACCAAAAUGCACAGGCUGUGAACUCGAAGAGUAGGGCGGGACACGUGGUAUCCUGUCUGAAUAUGGGGGGACCAUCCUCCAAGGCUAAAUACUCCUGACUGACCGAUAGUGAACCAGUACCGUGAGGGAAAGGCGAAAAGAACCCCGGCGAGGGGAGUGAAAAAGAACCUGAAACCGUGUACGUACAAGCAGUGGGAGCCUCUUUAUGGGGUGACUGCGUACCUUUUGUAUAAUGGGUCAGCGACUUAUAUUCUGUAGCAAGGUUAACCGUAUAGGGGAGCCGCAGGGAAACCGAGUCUUAACUGGGCGUUAAGUUGCAGGGUAUAGACCCGAAACCCGGUGAUCUAGCCAUGGGCAGGUUGAAGGUUGGGUAACACUAACUGGAGGACCGAACCGACUAAUGUUGAAAAAUUAGCGGAUGACUUGUGGCUGGGGGUGAAAGGCCAAUCAAACCGGGAGAUAGCUGGUUCUCCCCGAAAGCUAUUUAGGUAGCGCCUCGUGAACUCAUCUUCGGGGGUAGAGCACUGUUUCGGCUAGGGGGUCAUCCCGACUUACCAACCCGAUGCAAACUACGAAUACCGAAGAAUGUUAUCACGGGAGACACACGGCGGGUGCUAACGUCCGUCGUGAAGAGGGAAACAACCCAGACCGCCAGCUAAGGUCCCAAAGUCAUGGUUAAGUGGGAAACGAUGUGGGAAGGCCCAGACAGCCAGGAUGUUGGCUUAGAAGCAGCCAUCAUUUAAAGAAAGCGUAAUAGCUCACUGGUCGAGUCGGCCUGCGCGGAAGAUGUAACGGGGCUAAACCAUGCACCGAAGCUGCGGCAGCGACACUAUGUGUUGUUGGGUAGGGGAGCGUUCUGUAAGCCUGUGAAGGUGGCCUGUGAGGGCUGCUGGAGGUAUCAGAAGUGCGAAUGCUGACAUAAGUAACGAUAAAGCGGGUGAAAAGCCCGCUCGCCGGAAGACCAAGGGUUCCUGUCCAACGUUAAUCGGGGCAGGGUGAGUCGACCCCUAAGGCGAGGCCGAAAGGCGUAGUCGAUGGGAAACAGGUUAAUAUUCCUGUACUUGGUGUUACUGCGAAGGGGGGACGGAGAAGGCUAUGUCAUCCGGGCGACGGUUGUCCCGGUUUAAGCAUGUAGGCUGGUUAUCCAGGCAAAUCCGGAUAAUCAAGGCUGAGGUGUGAUGACGAGGUACCACGGUACUGAAGUGACAGAUGCCCUGCUUCCAGGAAAAGCCUCUAAGCAUCAGGUAACAUCAAAUCGUACCCCAAACCGACACAGGUGGUCAGGUAGAGAAUACCAAGGCGCUUGAGAGAACUCGGGUGAAGGAACUAGGCAAAAUGGUGCCGUAACUUCGGGAGAAGGCACGCUGGUGUGUAGGUGAAGUCCCUGCGGACGGAGCUGAGACCAGUCGAAGAUACCAGCUGGCUGCAACUGUUUAUUAAAAACACAGCACUGUGCAAACACGAAAGUGGACGUAUACGGUGUGACGCCUGCCCGGUGCCGGAAGGUUAAUUGAUGGGGUUAUCCGUAAGGAGAAGCUCUUGAUCGAAGCCCCGGUAAACGGCGGCCGUAACUAUAACGGUCCUAAGGUAGCGAAAUUCCUUGUCGGGUAAGUUCCGACCUGCACGAAUGGCGUAAUGAUGGCCAGGCUGUCUCCACCCGAGACUCAGUGAAAUUGAACUCGCUGUGAAGAUGCAGUGUACCCGCGGCAAGACGGAAAGACCCCGUGAACCUUUACUAUAGCUUGACACUGAACAUUGAGCCUUGAUGUGUAGGAUAGGUGGGAGGCUUUGAAGCGUGGACGCCAGUCUGCGUGGAGCCAACCUUGAAAUACCACCCUUUAAUGUUUGAUGUUCUAACGUUGGCCCCUUAUCGGGGUUGCGGACAGUGUCUGGUGGGUAGUUUGACUGGGGCGGUCUCCUCCCAAAGCGUAACGGAGGAGCACGAAGGUUAGCUAAUCCUGGUCGGACAUCAGGAGGUUAGUGCAAUGGCAUAAGCUAGCUUGACUGCGAGCGUGACGGCGCGAGCAGGUGCGAAAGCAGGUCAUAGUGAUCCGGUGGUUCUGAAUGGAAGGGCCAUCGCUCAACGGAUAAAAGGUACUCCGGGGAUAACAGGCUGAUACCGCCCAAGAGUUCAUAUCGACGGCGGUGUUUGGCACCUCGAUGUCGGCUCAUCACAUCCUGGGGCUGAAGUAGGUCCCAAGGGUAUGGCUGUUCGCCAUUUAAAGUGGUACGCGAGCUGGGUUUAGAACGUCGUGAGACAGUUCGGUCCCUAUCUGCCGUGGGCGCUGGAGAAUUGAGGGGGGCUGCUCCUAGUACGAGAGGACCGGAGUGGACGCAUCACUGGUGUUCGGGUUGUCAUGCCAAUGGCACUGCCCGGUAGCUAAAUGCGGAAGAGAUAAGUGCUGAAAGCAUCUAAGCACGAAACUUGCCCCGAGAUGAGUUCUCCCUGAGACUAUAAGUCUCCUGAAGGAACGUUGAAGACGACGACGUUGAUAGGCCGGGUGUGUAAGCGCAGCGAUGCGUUGAGCUAACCGGUACUAAUGAACCGUGAGGCUUAACCUUACAACGCCGAAG
rnacentral:rRNA from 1 species